CCUCAGCCUCCUGAGCAGCUGAGAUUGCAAACAUGCCCCACCGCACCUGGCACAAGAAUCCUUUUAUACACAGGGCAAAUCUCACAAAAAUGUGAGGGAAGUUCAGGAACCUGAAGCAAACAAGGGCUAAUAGAGUCCUGAGGCUUGAGUUGCAGAUAGAUCUUCUGCUGACAAUGGAGCCCUCCAAAGGCCACGCUGCCAGCGGAGAAACGGACUAAGAAAACCCAGGUCUAGGCACAAAGAAGCUGAGCUUCAGGAGGAGAAAAAUAUUUCUGCUGAAGAAUUUUAAUCAGGGAUACAGCACAACAAUCAUGAUUGGGGUUUCAAUUUUUAAAACUAGGAAACCAUAAGCAAAAAAUUGCAUAGAAAUUAGAACUUGAGGGGCUGGGGUUGUGGCUCAAUGGUAGAGCACUCGUCUCGCACGCGCGGGACCCUGGGUUCAAUCCUUGGGACCACAUAAAAAAUAAGUGAGCGAAAUAAAGGUGUUGUGUCCAACUACAACUAUAAAAUAAAUAUUAAGGAAAAAAAAUAAAUUAGAACUUGAGUUAUAAUCCCAGUAGGUACCUGACAAAAGCAAGCAUAGACCACUGCAGAAAUCCACUCCCCAUCCAGGCUGCCUGGGCUUCCCAUAAAUAUAGUCCCCAAUAAAUUAUGAAAUAAUGACACAGUAAUUCUUUGUGAGUGAAAGUCAACCUAUUUUCUAAAACAAAAGACUUUAGACUCCUAGGGUUUCAGAUAAUUCAAUAACACGAUAGAUGCUUUGGAAGGUAUUUUUUAAACUAAAGACAUAAAGAUUUAAAAAUAUUAAGGAAGAAAUCAAUAUUGUUAAAAUGUCCCUGCUACUGAAAAUGAUCUGCAGAUUCAAUGUAAUCCCUAUCAAAAUACCAAUGACAUUAUUGACAAAACUAGAAACACAGUCCUAAGAUUCAUAUAGAGCCAGAUACCAUGGUGCUCAUCUGUAAUCUCAGUGACAGAAUGAAGAGACAACCUAUAGAAAAGAGAAGUAUUUUCAAACUAUACAAAGGAUUGCUAUCCAGAAGAUGUAAGCAACUCAGAAAACUUGAUAGCAAAGAAACAUAACCCAAUUGAAAAAUGGGCAGUACAUCUAAAUAGACCUUUCUUUAAUGGAAACAUACAGAUGGCCAACAGGUAUGAAAAACAGUUCAACAUCACUAAUCACAGGAAACAUGCAAAUCAAACCCUGAGAUAUCACCUCACUCCAGUAAGAAUGGCUGUUAUCUAAAAGAUAACAAGUGCUGGGGAGGAGGUAGAGAAAAUGGAAGCCUUCCAUGGUGUUGGGAAUGUGAAUUAGUUCAGCUAUUACGGAAAACAAUAUGGAGGUUUCUAAAAAAUGUAAAAUGAAUCUACUAUAGAGCAAUCAUCAUAUAGUUAACUUUUGUGUUUUGAGUUAACUUUUGUGAUCAAAACAAGCACAACUUAAAGGAGGAAAAGUUUAUUUGGGAAUCAUAGUUUCAGAAGUCUUAGCCUGUAGAUGGCCAACUCCAUUGUUUUGGGCUCAAAGUGAGGCAGGACAUCAGUGAGGAAGGGUUGAGUUUCAGAAAGCCACUUAGCUCUUGGUGGAGUUAGGAAGCUAAAGUGGGAGUGGGGGCACUGGAAAUCCUCCAGCCACACCUCACCUGGCUACAGUUGCCACCCCAUCAGUCCAUUCAGACUAGGAUGCACUGAUUAGGUUGCAGCUUCUCACAAUCCAAUUCCUUUCCCUCUGCAUACUCGUGCAUUAACAAGAGUGUUUUGGGGACACUUCACAUCCAAACUAUGACACCAUUCCCAAACCCAGUAUAUGGAAGAGAUAUCUUCUGCACUCUUGUGGGUUUUUGUUUGUUUGUGGUGCUGGGGAUUUAACCCAGGGCCCUGUGCAUGCCAGGCAAGCACACUGAGCUAUAUCCCCAGGUCUGUACUCCCGUGCUGAUUGCAGCACUAUUCACAAUAGUCAAGAAAUGGAAACAACCUAAGUGUCCAUCAUCUGAUACAUGGAUAAAGAAAAUGUACCACACACACACACACACACACACACAGUGAAGUACUAUUUGGCUGCAAAACAGAAUGAAAUCCUGUAAUUUUUAAUAACAUGGGUACAACUGGAGGUCAUUAUGUUAAAGUGAAAUAAGGCAAAGAAAAACAAAUACCAUAUGACUUCAUUUGUAUGUAGAAUCUAAAAAAGUGGAUCUUAUACAUAUAGACUAGAAUGGUAACUAGUAGAUGCUGGGGACAGUGGAGGCAGUUGGAGAGAGGUGGAUUUGCAGGUAUUAUAGGGGAAAGAAGUUCCUGUGUCAUAUUACACAGCAGGGUGACUAAAGAUGAUAAUGUACCGUAUGUUUUUUGAAAGCUUGAAGAAAGGGUUUUGAAUGUUUUCACCAUAAAUGAUCAAUGUUUGAGGAGACAGCUAUUUCUACUCUUAUAUACAUUAUACAGUGUAUACAUCACAUGACACCUCAUUAAUAUGUAUAGUUUUUACUUAUUGGUUAAAAUGAGAUUUUAAAAUAAAGAGUUUAAUAUAAAUGCAUAUGUACAUACAGCAAAAUACCGUGGAGGGGGAAACCUAACCAGACAGAUUUGGAAAAGAACCAACUAGAACAUGUAGGAAUUAAAUAAUCAGUUGGAUUUUAAAAAACCGCUGAGUAAAUAAAUUUAAAACAGGUCUGAUGGAGGUAGAGAUAGAAUUAGCAAACUGACAAAUGGAUAUGAAGUAAUAAAGUAGCAAAGAAAAUAUUUGAGAAUUUAAGAGGUAAGUAGAGGAUUGGAUAAUAAGACUACAGAAAAGAGAAAAGGGAGAGGCAGUUUAAAAAUAAAAAGAACAACAACUAAACAGGCCCAGCAUACAGUGGUGUACACCUGUAAUCCCAGCAGCUCUGGAGGCUGAGGCAGAAGAAUCGCAAGUUCAAAGCCAGCCUCAGCAACUUAGUGAGGCCCUCAGUAACUCAGCAAGACUCUGUCUCAAAAUUAAAAAUAAAAAGAGCUGAGGAUGUGGCCCAAUGGUUAAAGUGCCCCUUGGGUUCAAUCUCUGGUAUCAACAUAAAUUUAAAAAACAGGCUAAAAUUGUCCAGAAGUAACUGUAUACAUUCAGUUUUAUAUUAUUUUCUCUGAUAUAUUUCUGCUAAUCUUAUCACCCAAUCUUUAUAGCUUUGUGAUUGCAUAUCAACCAAACUGAUGGCGAACUUUUCAUUUGGGGGAAAUAAAUCCUAUGAGGAAUCUAUAAGCAUAACAUCCUAUUAAUCUGAAGUUGUGAUUGAUUGGACCAUGAUGGAACAGAGUCAGAGGUGAAUGUGUUACCUGUGGUGGGGUUAGAGGGCAGCAGGUGUGGUGCUCAAGCUCUUGGUUAACCUUCAAUACCCAUGCUAUUAAACCUAGUUAGCUAACUCUUCUUUGGAGCUCACUUUGCUUUUAAGUGGGAGUCUCUGUGCACUCUGGCUGGUGGCAUCACUGUGAAGGUCGGUGAAGAGCAGGAGAUCUUAAAAUAUCUAAGGAGAAAAAUCAUCAUCAAAGUAAUGGCAGCAUGUGGCAGGAGCAAGGUGGUGUGUUCACUAAAUUAUUUUACAUCUUGUAGUGACAUACUAAACUGCAUUUCCCAGCUUCCCCAGCAGCACUCAGUGAUACCAUGGUGGCACCAUGUGAUUGAGUUCUAGCCACAGGCAUAGGAAGGAAAAAACUCCCACUUCCAGAUGUGAUGUUCUGCUUCAUUCCUUAUGUUCUCUUUUCCUGGAUACUUGUUGGAUGGAUAUCAACUUCCAGGAUGAUCUAGAAGCCAUAUGUUGAAAAUGCUAUAAUCUCUUUCAGCCAAGUUUUCUAGAAGGUAGUGUAGAGAAAAACCCCUCAUUUUUGGUCCACAAUGGACCGUGAUAGAUACAAAAAAGGAAUCGUUCUAUUAUAUCGCUGAGACUUAGGGGUUGUUUGUUAUAGCAGCUAAUAUAACUUACCCUAAUGUAUUGCUAAAAAAGAUGUUUAAAGAAUCAAGAAAAGAAAUGGACUUUGCAGAAACAGCAAGAGAUUUGGGAGAAUUUUAUCCCUUGGUUACCAUAAUGUGUCUGCUUUGCAACCUUUGUUUGGACAUGGGACUGUGUCGGAAAAUGAGUGAGCCUGUGGGUGUGUCUCUCUUCUCUAGGACCAGCUAAAUCCAACUGGCUAAAUCCAGACUUUGUGUGGUUGUAUCCUUCCUCUGUCAUGUACACAGGUCCAGGAUUUAUAAGACUUGCUUACUUAACACUAGAGAAGCACCCCCACCCGCCCUGCCACACAUGAUGAUGCUUAGAAACAUCACUAGAUCUUAGAUAAGAUCACCCACUGGCUGCCAUAUCGGAAAAUCACGACUGGCUAAAAAUAAAAAAGGAGUGGCUCUUCAGCUCGCCCUCAAAAAUUAAGGAAUUUAACUUCUCUGAAUUUUACACAUUGUGAGUGAAACAGAGGCACUGGAAAAAGUACUUUGUCAUUGAACUUAAUGUACCCUAUAAUUUGUCAAAUUGGUGUUAUUUGACUUGUUGCAAAUGGAAAUGCUUUUAUGCUAUGAUAGGAAUGUUAUUUGCAGUUCUUUUCUGUUACUGUGCAUAUUUAUUUUUAAAUAACUUUUGAAUAGGAAACAGUCACUUAAUUAAAAAAUAAAGACCCUUUUCCAAAUAGCCAUUAUUCGUUUCUAACUUGCUCUUCUAGAAUUCUGUUUUACAGAUACAAGCAAAUCCACUUUUUAUCCCCUCCCCAUUUCUUGAUACAAAAUAGAGAUUAUCACAUGCCUUAUUCCACAUCUUGCUUUUUCUCACUUGACAAUCUUUCAUAUUAAUUGCUUGUUUUUAACAACUGUGUAUUUAUUUUAGCUUUUUAUUUUGAAAUAUUUCUGAAUUCAUAGUUUCAAAGGCAGUACAGAGAGGUCCCCUGUACCCUUCACCUGGUUUUCCCUAAAACAUCAACAUCUGUUUUUUUUAAGUGUACAUUCAAAAUAACAGUGGCAAAAAACUUUUCACACAAUUCUAAAUACUUUGCAUAUGUGAACUUAUUGAUCCUCAAAAUAUAACAUCUAUAUGCAGAUAGGGAAACUAAGGCACAAAGUUGUUAAAUAACUUGUUCAAAUGACAGAGAUAGAUAGUAACUGAUAAAGCCAGGAUUUGAACCCAGGCAGUUUGGCUUAAAAGUCUAUAGUCUUGCCAGGUGCGGUGGCGCACACCUGUAAUCCCAGCAGCAUGGGAGGCUGAGGCAGGAGGAUCUUGAAUUCAAAGCCAGCUUCAGCAAUAGUGAGGUGCUAAACAACUCUGUGAGACCCUGUCUCUUAAUAAAAUACAAAAUAGGGCUAGGGAUAUGGCUUAGUGGUCGAGUGCCCCUGAAUUCAAUUCCUGGUACCCCCCCCCCAAAAAAAAAGAGUCUAUAGUCUUAAUUCUGAAGUGACAUUGACUCCUUUUGAAUAGUGGGUGGUUACUAUUGGAAGGGUGGGAGAUACAGUCACUCUUAACAAUUCUUUUAGCAAAUUUUCAUGAAUGUUCAUGAAAGUUCAUGCAUACAUUAAGACACUACUGUUCUAAAACUUUUUAUUUCAUCGCAUUAAUAUUAAAGAACUUUCUAAGCAACAUUUAUGGAUCUCACAUUUUAAGUAUAUGCACAUUUUAUGACUUUUCCUUAAUUUAUUGCAGAUAUUUAGGUGUUUCUUUAUAAGAAUUGCUGCAGCAAACAUUUUUUUGCACACAUAUCUCUGCUCACUUACAUGAGUAAACAUACAGUAUAAGAUCCUAGAAGUGAAAUUGCUGGCUCACAGGUAUGUAUGGUUUAUAUUUUAUUAGGCUUUCCCAAAUUUCUCUUCAAAAAUUUGGCUGUAAUUUAUGCUUCUGACCUCAUUGUUUUGAGUUACCUCUACAACCUUAUUAAGGAUUCCUUGUUAAUAAUAAUCAGAGACCUAAAUUGAACCAAUACAGAGAUGUGCAAUUUUGUAUUUAUCAAGAAUUAUAAGUCUACACUGCCAAUAUCAUUGUAAAAGAAUAAAAUUUUGUUAUACAAAACUAGAUUUUGUUAAAACAGUUUUUUUUUUCCUAAUAGUUGGUAGUGCAGAAAGUUUGUGUAGUCAUGGAAUGGAUUGCAUAAGGGAGAUAUUUGCAAGGAAUAUUGAAACAAGGAAGAUUUUUUUAAGA
rnacentral:lncRNA from 1 species